rnacentral:lncRNA from 1 species
GUGUGAGUGAACUUGGGUAAACAAAUUCUUGGUCUCGUGUGCUUAUUGUUUUCAUAUUUCUAGUUGUCCUAGAGCUUAUUUUGUGUUGAUCUAUUAUCUCAUGAAGUUCCUUCUAUAAAGUUCACAUGCAGUAGUCUCUAGACAUCUUUCCCAAACUUUUGAUUCAAAUAGAUUCUGCAGAAACCUAUUUAAAUUUGAAUUUCAUAGAGUACUUUUUACUCUGUUGGAAGUUCCAACCCUGUCGGAAGUUCCGAUCCUGUGUCGGAAGUUUCUCUGCGAAGAAUGUUCAAGUGUUCAGAUCGAGCCUAUUC